GGGCUCCUUCGGGAGCACCGGCGGACUGCUCAGUAACACGUGGACAACCUACCCUCGGGUGGGGGAUAACCUCGGGAAACUGAGGCUAAUACCCCAUAGGCCUCGGAUACUGGAAGGUUCCGAGACCGAAAGCUCCGGCGCCCGAGGAUGGGUCUGCGGCCUAUCAGGUAGUUGGUGGUGUAAAGGACCACCAAGCCUACGACGGGUACGGGCCCUGAGAGGGGGAGCCCGGAGAUGGACUCUGAGACACGAGUCCAGGCCCUACGGGGCGCAGCAGGCGCGAAACCUUCGCAAUGCGCGAAAGCGCGACGAGGGGAGCCCGAGUGCCCUUCCUUUCGGGAGGGCUUUUCUGGAGCCUAAAAAGCUCCAGGAAUAAGGGCUGGGCAAGACGGGUGCCAGCCGCCGCGGUAAUACCCGCAGCUCGAGUGGUGACCACUAUUAUUGAGCCUAAAGCGUCCGUAGCCGGACCCGUAAA
rnacentral:rRNA from 1 species